UACGUAGGGAGCAAGCGUUGUCCGGAAUCAUUGGGCGUAAAGCGCGCGUAGGUGGCCCCAUAAGUCCGCUGUGAAAGUCAAAGGCUCAGCCUUCGAAAGCCGGUGGAUACUGUGGGACUAGAGUACGGAAGAGGCGAGUGGAAUUCCUGGUGUAGCGGUGAAAUGCGCAGAUAUCAGGAGGAACACCGAUGGCGAAGGCAGGUCUUUGGGCCACUACUGACGCUGAGAAGCGAAAGCAUGGGGAGCGAACAGG
rnacentral:rRNA from 1 species